UAAAAUCGUGCUUGAAGGAAAAACUUCUCUCUGAAUUCCAUAUGCAUGUUAGCACUAUACAGACAAACUGUUGAAAAAUGUUGAUCACAGUCAUAAAGAAAAAUAUCUACGUUGUCAAACCGAACGUUGGCGUCUUCUGGAAUAAUUCCUUCAACUGGUGAAAUUUUUCGAGUCAACUCUGGAUCUUCACCAAUCAUAUACUCAUCAUUUAAAGAGGUAAAAGUGGCUCUGAUAAAAUCGUAGACAAAUGAAAAUCCAGUAGGCUCAACGUUGAGAAUGAGAUCAGAAAGGACUACAGCAAUGGUAGUUCGAACACCUUCGUAAACAGAAUCUAGUUCAGGAGAGUCAUAAUCAAUGCUUGUAUAGCUGAUGAAAACGGUAUCAUCAAAGUUAUUUUUAGGUGAAGGAGAAGAACGAACUAAAACAUUGUCACAAAGAGAAGAAGGAUAUGUAAAUUCUUUAAUAACCAAGUCGUUAAGCUUGGAAGUAACAAGGUAAUCAAAUUUUCGCACUACUAGGUCGAUGUAAAACUCUGUAAAUGCUCUUACCACAGGUAUGAGAUAGUUUUCAGAUCUUCGGUACAACGAACAUAUAGCAU